UACGGAGGAUCCGAGCGUUAUCCGGAUUUAUUGGGUUUAAAGGGUGCGUAGGCGGCCUUUUAAGUCAGCGGUGAAAGUCUGUGGCUCAACCAUAGAAUUGCCGUUGAAACUGGGAGGCUUGAGUAUGUUUGAGGCAGGCGGAAUGCGUGGUGUAGCGGUGAAAUGCUUAGAUAUCACGCAGAACCCCGAUUGCGAAGGCAGCCUGCCAAGCCAUGACUGACGCUGAUGCACGAAAGCGUGGGGAUCAAACAGG
rnacentral:rRNA from 2 species